rnacentral:rRNA from 1 species
AGACGAACGCUGGCGGCGUGCUUAACACAUGCAAGUCGAACGAUGAACACCGGAGCUUGCUCUGGUGGGAUUAGUGGCGAACGGGUGAGUAACACGUGAGCAAUCUGCCCUUGACUCUGGGAUAAGCGUUGGAAACGACGUCUAAUACCGGAUACGACCUCUCUUGGCAUCAAGCGGAGGUGGAAAGAUUUAUCGGUCAAGGAUGAGCUCGCGGCCUAUCAGCUAGUUGGUGAGGUAAUGGCUCACCAAGGCGACGACGGGUAGCCGGCCUGAGAGGGUGACCGGCCACACUGGGACUGAGACACGGCCCAGACUCCUACGGGAGGCAGCAGUGGGGAAUAUUGCACAAUGGGCGCAAGCCUGAUGCAGCAACGCCGCGUGAGGGACGAAGGCCUUCGGGCUGUAAACCUCUUUUAGCAGGGAAGAAGCGAAAGUGACGGUACCUGCAGAAAAAGCACCGGCUAACUACGUGCCAGCAGCCGCGGUAAUACGUAGGGUGCAAGCGUUGUCCGGAAUUAUUGGGCGUAAAGAGCUCGUAGGCGGUUUGUCG